CUAAUGGAGGAGGGAAAAGGACAUAUGUUGCAGGUGCCUGGAGAGGAACUAUUGACUUCCCAGGUUGUUGGGACUAUGGAGCUGGAUUAUGCUGUGCAUGACUGGCUGACCACAGAGACUGGCAUGCUGAGUCACUGCUAGCCCAGGAGAUGCCUGAGAUGGGCUUUAUGUGCUGGGGACUGAUCUCAUGCCACUUUGACAGCAGUAAGGAAGACUGAUCCAAUGAUUGAGGCACUGGUCUGGGGUUCAGGUUCAAUUCCCUGCUCCACCACAGACUCAUGUGACCACUCAAGGAACCAGCAAAAAAUCACCUUCCAUUCAGAAAUUGGGCCCUUAGUGCAAGUUUCACUGCAAAUUGGUGGCAUGAAAUAGAUAUAUCCAAAAGCUUUGCAAAUAUGCAUGUAGACCCUUACAAAGAAAA